rnacentral:rRNA from 1 species
GAGUUUGAUCAUGGCUCAGGAUGAACGCUAGCGGCAGGCUUAAUACAUGCAAGUCGUGGGGCAGCGCAGUGUAGCAAUACAUGGGCGGCGACCGGCAAACGGGUGCGGAACACGUACGCAACCUUCCUUUAACUGGAGAAUAGCCCCUCGAAAGAGGGAUUAAUACUCCGUAAUAUCCCGACAUGGCAUCAUGACGGGAUUAUAGCCCUCGGGCGGUUGAAGAUGGGCGUGCGCCUGAUUAGAUAGUUGGCGGGGUAACGGCCCACCAAGUCUGCGAUCAGUAACUGGUGUGAGAGCACGACCAGUCACACGGGCACUGAGACACGGGCCCGACUCCUACGGGAGGCAGCAGUAAGGAAUAUUGGUCAAUGGACGCAAGUCUGAACCAGCCAUGCCGCGUGGAGGAUUAAGGCCCUCUGGGUUGUAAACUCCUUUUUAAUCUGGGAAGAAAUGUUCCGAUUCUUCGGAAUUUGACGGUACCAGAGGAAUAAGCACCGGCUAAACUCCGUGCCAGCCGCCGCUAGU